rnacentral:lncRNA from 1 species
UAUUUUAACUGUUGAACAAAAUUCAUAUCUUUUGCAAUAUAUACAUGUAUCUAUACAAAAAUGCAUGUAUCGUAAGUUUAGGACAACAACAAACAAAUCUUAAUUAUAGUCUUUCUAAAUUGAACUAAUUAAGAAUUAUUUUCCAAAGUUAUGUCAUACAAUCUCAGAACUCGUGUUUGUUCUGAGAAAUUUUAGAGGAAAGCUGGAUAUCCAAGGAUGGUGCUAAAAUUCAAGGAUGGAGGAGCACCGCUCUUAAAUAACCUGCGUUAGUCCCUGACAUACAUUAAUAAUAUAGGCAUAUUGUGACUUUGAUGAAGAGUUGUCUCAUUGACACUCA